rnacentral:rRNA from 1 species
GACGAACGCUGGCGGCGUGCCUAAUACAUGCAAGUAGAACGCUGAAGAGAGGAGCUUGCUCUUCUUGGAUGAGUUGCGAACGGGUGAGUAACGCGUAGGUAACCUGCCUGGUAGCGGGGGAUAACUAUUGGAAACGAUAGCUAAUACCGCAUAAAAUGGAUUAUCGCAUGAUAAUCCAUUGAAAGGUGCAAAUGCAUCACUACCAGAUGGACCUGCGUUGUAUUAGCUAGUUGGUGGGGUAACGGCUCACCAAGGCGACGAUACAUAGCCGACCUGAGAGGGUGAUCGGCCACACUGGGACUGAGACACGGCCCAGACUCCUACGGGAGGCAGCAGUAGGGAAUCUUCGGGAAUGGACGGAAGUCUGACCGAGCAACGCCGCGUGAGUGAAGAAGGUUUUCGGAUCGUAAAGCUCUGUUGUAAGAGAAGAACGAGUGUGAGAGUGGAAAGUUCACACUGUGACGGUAUCUUACCAGAAAGGGACGGCUAACUACGUG